AAGGGUAACAGCUCAGUGGUAGAGCGUGUACUUAUCAUGCACAAGGUCCUGGGCUCCAUCCCCAGUACCUCCA
rnacentral:tRNA from 1 species